GCGCCGCUAGCUGAGUGGUUUAGCACCCGCCUCUUAAGCGGGAGACCUCGGUUCGAUCCCGAGGCGGCGUAC
rnacentral:tRNA from 1 species